rnacentral:rRNA from 1 species
CACCGCGGUUAGACGAGGAGCCCUAGUUGUUAGAACACGGCGUAAAGUGUGGUUAGGACUCCCCUUCACUAAAGCCGAACACUUACUUUAAGCAGUGUUAUGCUCCCGAAAGUAAGAAGCCCAUUUACGAAAGUAGCUUUAUAUCAUCCGAAUCCACGUAAGCUAAGGCA